UGGUGGAGUGAUUUGUCGGGUUAAUUCCGGUAACGAACGAGACCUCCGCCUGCUAAAUAGUAUGCAUUUUGGUUUCAAAGUGUGAUACUUCUUAGAGGGACUAUGGGUGUUCAAACCCAUGGAAGUUGGAGGCAAUAACA
rnacentral:rRNA from 1 species